GGAAAAUGUGGGUGUAGCUGUUUGGUGCAGGCACCACUGGUUCCCAUGACAUAAAUGUAGGAUAUUCCAAUCUGGACUUUAAUUUCUUUCUUUGUGACAAAGUCUUGAGUGGAUCCUGGUUCAAGAUUAGACUAUCGAUUAUUGGACCACUGAAGGAAAAGCGAACGAAUCAUUCUACUCUACUCUGAUUUGGGCUACGGUGCUGAUUCGAAGUAGAUUAAAUGGCUGAGCAUCCAGCUAUUCUGAGAGACCCACCCCUCUCACAGGAUAAUUCACCUAGGUAUCAGGAAAGUGAACGGCCACAAAAACCCCAGGACCUUGAAGCCUCGAUAUUAACUGAUCCGGAGCAUCCAACGGAGCUGUUCUUUCAACCAUUUGUCAAAGACGAGCUGACUAGGCAGUUGCAGAAUGCUAAGAUACGCUUCGAGCAAGAUCAAGAAUUGGCAGAGACCUUAAGUGCCAAAGAAAGAGAGCUGCUAAGCCAGUUCGAACUAAAGAUGGAUGCAAACAAUCUCUCUUGGGAGGCAAAACUAAAAGAUUGUUUAGAGAAUUGUCGUUUAGAAAUGACUGAAAAGCACAAUCUUGAAAUUGAGCAGAUAAAAGUUGUUCAUUCUGAAGAAAUGGAAAAUGCACUCAAGGCAAAUAGAAUCGCUCAUCAAGCGCAAAUGGAGGCACUAAAAGAACUGCAUCAAGUUGAAUAUGACUCAACGGUACAAGAGUGCGAGGUUCUUCGCAAGCAACUUGCUGAACAAAUGACGUCUCUUGAAAUUGACAGCAAGAAAUCGCAUCAGCAGGAGAUUGAGAAGAUGAUAGCGGACUUUGAAGAUUCAAGGAAAGCCAGUUAUGCAGAAAAACAGCAGGAAAUUGAAUUGUUUCAAGAUCGCAUUAAACGGCUUGAAGAGCAACUAAACAAGCAGGUUUCUACUGAAGACAUGGCAGCUUCUUACAAGCAAGCACUGCAGGACAAGGAAUUGGAAAUUCAAGCUUACCACCAAUCACAGCUCGCUCUCUUGAAAGCUGUUCAUUCCCAAACAGAAACCACACUUCGAGUCGACUAUGAAUCGAAAAUUACAGCACUGGAGUCAGAAUUGGAAUCAAUUGAGCGUGAAGUAGCGGACAAUAAGUCCGAACUUGAGGAGACCCACUAUCAACAGAUACUAGCGAUUGAAGCCCAACAAAGAGACAAGGUGGCAGCCAUUCAAUCACACUGUGAACGAAGGUUAUUAGAAGCUCAGGCUAUUCAUGCAAAGGAAUUUGAAAACCUCCAAAAAGAGCAUUUGCAAAAAGAAGAUGAGCUUUUGCUUGCUCACGAACAAAACGCAGAAGAACUGCUUCGAAGCCACCAACUCGAAAAAGAUGAACUUAUUGUCCAGCACCAGUCCGAGAUGAGUGACCUACGUACACACUCAGAGCCGAGGCCUAAAGCACUCAAAGUGUUCAGCUCCCCUCGCCCCCAGUCGGCAAGUGAUGCGCACACAUCCCGAUCGCGACCCAAUAUGAGAGAGGAGGAUUUAGUAGACAUAGUACAAAGUGAGUCCACACUAUUCAGUCCAUCCAAGAUUCAACGAAUCAGAGAUCGAUUCUCACAGCAAAGAGAGCAAGCUUUAACUGAGCGCCGAGAAAAAACCCCUCCUCCAAAAUCACCUCAAAAGCGACCUGAAUCUCCAUCCAAAUUAAAAGCAGAGUAUGAACUGAAACUUACCAAACUCGAAGAAAAAAUGGUGACUGAAAGAAAGACACAAGUUAAUCUUCUCAAGAAAAAACAUGAAAGAGACUUGGCUGAUAUCGAGAAAAAGUAUGGGACAGAAAGAGUAGAACUUGAAACGAAGAUUCGAGCACAGUUGGAAGACGAACAUUUCCGACACACUGAAGAAGCUGUAGCAGAGUGUUUGGUUGAUAAAGACAGAGGAAUGGAUGUUACCAGACAAGAGCUUGAACUUGCACACCAGAAGCAAAUAUCUGAGCUACAAUUAUCGCAUAAAGCUGAGCUGGAAAGAAUUAACACCGAACAUUGCUUGAAACUGGAAACCUUGACUGGUGAGUGUAAAGAGAAAUCGACAUCCAUGGAACUUGAUACAAUUCAAGGACAAUAUUCAACUGAGCUUGAACUACAAGCUGCACAAUAUGACACAGAAAUCGAGUCUCUACAAAUGCAAAUUGCAUCUCUCAAGUCCGAACAAGGGUUGAAAAUGAAUGAACUUCGUGAGCAACUGAAACAAGAUCACAUGGCCAAGUUCAAAGUAAUGACUAACAAGCUGCAGCAGUUGCAUGAAGGGGAGGUCAAUGCCCUCAGGCAGGAAAACGUCGAUCUUGUGUCGUCACAAGAGCAUAAUAUACAGAUGCUAAAAGGAGAAUUGGACUCCGAACGUGAACGAGAGAUAGCAGCCAUUGUGGAGGCUCACAAGAAAGAGAUGAAGACUAUCCAGGAGAGAUGUGAGGAGCAGUUGGCCCAACAGGAGGUUCAGGAUGACCAGAGUGACCAACUGGAGCUCAAUGUUAGGCAAGAACUAUCUCGACUGAACAAUGAUCUAGAGACCAAACUACAGCAACUAGAGACUGAGAGACAGCAGUACAGGGAGAGAGAAGCAGCUCUGACCAAGCAGCUGCAACAACUAGAGACUGAGAGACAGCAGUACACAGAGAGAGAAGCCGCCCUGAACAAGCAGCUGCAAGCAUUAGUGACAGAGACACAGCAGUGCAAGGAGAGAGAAACUGCCCUAACCGAGCAGUACAGGGAGAGAGAAAAUGCCCUGAACAAGCAGCUGCAAGCAUUAGUAACAGAUAGACAGCAGUGCAAAGAGAGAGAAACUGCCCAAACUGAGCAGUAUAUAGAGAGAGAAGCCGCCCUGAACAAGCAGCUGCAAGCAUUAGUGACAGAGACACAGCAGUGCAAAGAGAGAGAAACUGCCCUAACCGAGCAGUACAGGGAGAGAGAAAAUGCCCUGAACAAGCAGCUGCAAGCAUUAGUAACAGAUAGACAGCAAUACAGCGAGAGAGAAGCCGCCCUGAACAAGCAGUACACAGAGAGAGAAUCCGCCCUAACCGAGCAGUACAGGGAGAGAGAAGCCGCCCUGACCUUACAGUACACAGAGAGAGAAGCCGCACUAACUGAACAGUUACAGACUGAGAGACAGCUUAGAAAAGCAGAAGAUAAUGAGACGAAUGGUGAUAAAGAAAGACUGGCUGCAGAGAUUAGGACUUUGCAUGCUGAAAGGGACCUCCUACGCUCCACUGUGACCGCUCUGUAUGCAGCAGUGAGUAACUGCCUCGAGCUCUCCACUGUCGUCCAAUCAGUGUUAGGCCACACCCACCCUGAUGGGCUCGAUGGCUCCCAUAGCAACCAUGGUGAUAUUGAGUCCAGACUGUCCGAGAGACUAAUAGCACAGCAAGUAGUGUCACCAAGUGAUAGUGACUUUUCCCACUCCACCGUGUCCUCACCCAUACAGCCACACCCCCUACACACCCCUUAUGGCCUCGCAGCGCCACACAGCGCGGCCACGGGCGGCAGUGCAUCUUCUAAACAGUCCUCUGACUGGACCCUAAUGAAGCUGACUCCCAGUGUGGACAGUGGGAUCAUCAGUCAACAGGCCAGUGCUCUACAAAGUGAAGCGAGUACACUUGUCGGCACGCCGAACAAUAUGACUGGGACCACCCCCCUCUCGGAGGGCAUGUCCACCCUCUCCAUUGUCCCCCUGGACACCACCGCCCCAUUCACUAGCCACACCCACCACAGCACCUCUGAGGACUUUGAUGACACAGCUCACUCAUUCCUCUCAGUGUCCCUGAUGACCCCUACUGGCUCCCCCACCCACACUGUGGGGGGUCCUGACCCUAUCAGCCCAGGGGACCAUGAUCACACACAACAAAGUAUAUAUGACCAGCCGCUCAUUGACCUUAGUGUACUACCAUUGGACUCAAGCACUGUCUUCAUGACCACCAGUCUGUCAGCUGACCACAAUGCUGCAAUCCCAUUGGACGCUAUCCCUAACCACUUGCUACCACCAUCUACCGACCAGAGUGGUGCAAUCCCAUUGGACGCUUCCUCACACCACAUGGAGCCAGCCAACAGUGGUCAAGUUGGGUUUGUUCUACCGGAUCUCUCUCUUCUUCACUCACAACUCACCAUGUUCCACGGAUCUAUCAGCAACCUGGUGCAACAAUACGCUACUGUGGUACAUGUAUCUCAGGUCGAGGGAAAAUCAGGUGACUCUCAGGCACUAGUGACACAGCUCCAAUCUCAACUGGACACCAUGAGACAAUUCCACGGCCAGCUACAGGGACAAAUGGAGGACUCACGAAGGGAUGGAGAGGGGGAGGUGAUGCAUCUCAGGAGAGAAGUGACAGAGACACGAGAACAACUGGACUCUGCACUGGACAAGAUUAAGACCUUGGUUCAGCAAUUGGAGGGUCGUGACAACAGGCUAGAGCAAGAGCUUGCAGACGAGAGACAAGAACAUCGUGAGAACCUCACAGCAGGGGAAAGUCGUGAGGAGGGGCUCGUGGAACAGUUAUCUGCCUCAGAGAAGCAGCUUUCAGAGAGGGGAAGGAUACUGGAACAACUCUCAGCUGAGAGAACAUCACUGACUGAUAAGGUGAAAGAGGUGUGCUCUACGAUGGAGGAGAAAGAGACUGCUCUACUCCAAUCCAGCUCAGAGGCACUCCAGUUAAGGCAGGAGAACCAAGCUCUCAAACAGGUAAAUCGACAGCUGAGAGAAAGACAGGAGCAAGCAGACUUUAGACAAUGUUCCACUGAGGAAAACUUAAUUGAACAGAAAUCCAUCUAUGAGUCGCAGCUUAAACAAAUGCAACAAGAGCUCAGCGAACUUCUAGACAUCCGGGAUCGUAUCUCAGCCAGAGAGGAAGAAUUAGAGAACCUGUUACUAGAGAAAGAAGAUCUCAUGAAUCGUCUAAGCAUUGCAGAGCACCAGCUGGCAACUCAGGCUGAGCAGGGGAGGGUAGAGGGGCAGGUGGGAGAGAAGGAACAGCGACUGGUAGCUCAGCUUGAGAGCCAGGGGGAGCUGUGUGAGACACUCAGAGCAAGACUUAAAGAGACGCAGUCAUCUCAUCAAGUUGUCCAACAGCAGUACGUGCAAUCCUCCACUGUCAGGACACAACUGCAAACAGAGCUGCAACAACUCAGACAAGAGUUGCAACGAAGGGAGGGUUUGGCCACAAACACACUGGCUGAGAAAGCUGCUCUUGAGGGGCGAGUGCAGUCGUGUCAGGAAGAGCUGGAGGCAGUAAAGGAAGAGUUGAGGAUGGCAACGGAACAGAGAGAUCAUUUGGAAACGGCAUCAGAAAGCCAAGCCUCCACCAUGUCUGGUAAUCUCGGUGUACAGGAUGAUGCCUCCCAAGAAGGGGAGGGGCUGAGUGUGGGCGGACCUGGGGAAGUAUCUGCAGUUGAAGAGGAGAAACGCGUGAGUGCUCAGCUAGAGAGCAGAGUGGCAGCGUUGGAGCAAGAGUUGAGGGAUAAGGAGGAUCAACAGCAGGUUGUCAGUGAGCUGACAGAUAAGCUCUCACUGGAGUCUAGGUUAAGAGACUCACUGCAACAAGAGGUGGCUGCCCUCAGGGGUGAUAUCGAGAGGGGUCAGAGAUCACAGGAGCAAGUACUAGCGGAGGUCGAGUCCAAACAUGAGCAGGAAAUGCAAACCAUUGUCACCGAGCAUGCUCAGAAGCUCAACGAACUGCAGUUGGCUCAUCUUGAGGCCCUCCAUCGUCAGAGGGCAGAGGUGGAUGCCAAACACACUGGGGAGAGAGCGUUUAUCAAGCUUCACCAUCAGGAGCAGUUGGAUGACCUUCAAACAAGACACAGGGAGGAGAUUGAGCAACUGAGUUCUGAGCACCACUCUCUACUACUGUCUCUGGACAAUGCAGGAGGUACUGAUGACAUCACUGAUGUGGGGGGUCACUCCCUCUUACUCAAGAUUGCUGAGCUGGCCCCCGUACUUGCUAGGGAGGCUCAAGAGGUGAAUGACCUCUGCAAACGGACUGGACAUCGAAUGUCCACAGUCGGUGUUGACCAGCCGGACUCCAUUGGUCAAACUUCGUCUUUGGAGGCUCUUGUAGAGAGACUGAGAGAAGUGGUACAGGAUAUUGGAGCAGCCAAGGACACUAGUGGUGUUGAGGACUGGCGCCGAGACUUACUGGCAGCUGUGGGGGGUCUGUUGGAACACCAGCGGGGGGUCCUAGCCACUACCCUCACGGCCUCCGCCCUACAGGGGGAGGAGGACGGUACUGAGGUCCAGCAAAUGCUGCAAGACCAGCUCUCCCAGCACAGUGCCCUAGUUCAACAGCUGCACUCUGCCGAUCGUGAAUCCUUACUGGCGGAGAUCCGGGCACUGAGAGCCACUCUAGAGUCCAUGAGGAACGAGCAAAGGCAACAGAAUCGAGAUCUUUUGGCACAGCUCCAAGCAAACUCCCAACAUCCAACCGACACCACCUUACUGCAGCAGCUACAAUCCACACUUGCCAAACUAUCACUCUUAGAGCAAGAACUGGCCAAUACAAAGCAGAAUCUAGCCAAUAAAGUCACUGAGACUGGAAAUAAGACCCAUGAGUUAGAACAAACGAGUCGAGAUAUAGCCAAAAAGGACAGAGAGUUUGCAUCAAAGGGUCAAGAGUUUGAGAGAGUAUUGAGAAGGGUUAACGAAGCCGAGGACAGUAAGAGGAGGGCAGAGGAGGAAGUGGGUGUGUCCAGACAGAAGGUAGUCGAGAUGGAGGGUGCUCUAUCCAGUGCAAUGUCUGAGCUAGGAGCUCUGAAGCAGGAGCUGAUUGUACUGAGAGAAAUUGAGACCACACUCAGGGGCGAGUGCUCUAGAGAAAAGGCCUUGUCUGCUCAACUGCGAGGGUCCCUGUUGGGGGAGAAAACAAUCAACCAGCAGCUCAAUGACAGGCUGAAUGAGAGGGCUAAGCAGGAGGGUGGAGCUUCACAGGCAAUGGCAGUGCAGUUACAGGCUCAACUAGAUGAAGCCAAUGAAGCUCUUGAGCAUUUAAGACAAGAUAAAAUAGCAGAGACAGACGGUUUGUCCGGUCUUGAGCAGGAGCUUUCCACUCUGAGGUCGGUGCUGCAAGCCAAGGAGGAACGGCUCACUCAGACUACUGAUAAACUGCUCCAGGUGUAAGAGUUUGGUAUUGGGAAGAAGAAACAUUUUGACUUGGAGCAUCGGAUGGGAUUGUAAAGGUGUUGAAGUUCUUAAGAGAAGCUUUUUAAGUGAGCGUCACUGCUGUGUGCACAUGCACAUGCAUAUGUAUGCCACGUAUUUGUGGAUUAGAUAUCUAUGUAGAUUAGUUAACUCUGACAAACUCUGUUCUUAUUGACCUUGUUUUUGUUGUGUGAUAUGUGUAGAUGUAUAAUAAUUAUACAGUAUCACCCCGUUUUAUAAUCAAUUCGGUUGUAAGUAAAAUUAUAUAUAAUUACUACAUAAUAUAAAAAAAAUUAUGUUUCUACUGUGAUGGAUUCCUAUAUAUAUAUGUACAUACUAGAAGUUGAAAAUGACUGCUCCUUGUACCAUGCAUUCUAUAUAGGUUGCCUAUAUACCGUAUAGUGGGUAAUUUUCGGGGGACAAAAUAUUCGUGGUUCAGCAAUAUUGAGACAUUUCGUGGGUAAUAUUUUCGUGGUUGCUGCUUGCACUGCAGGUAAAGGUAGGAAAGGUCGCUUCAUUCGUGGGUAAAAUAUUUGUGGUCAGACCUCCAACCACGAAAACCACAAAUAUUUUACCCCACGAAAAUUACCCGCUAUAUACAGUAGCUAGUAUCUGUAUAGUUACUGUUUAAUUUACUUAGAAUUUAGAUGAGUACAUUCAUACAUGUACAUUUUUUGAGCUCCCAAGAAUAUUCAUACGUUCCAGAGACUAACAUUUAAUGUGUAUUGUUGUUUCUUUGUUAUAAUCUCGAUCCUAUAGCAACAACUCCCGUACACUCAGCACAUUCUACGCUGAAUGUAUGUAUGCAUGCUGAUGUACGUGUUAUGAUGUAUAGUACAUUGUAGGUAUUGUAUAAAAGCUAAAUAGCCACAGCCAAGUUUAACUGCAAUCUCACUACUGUCACAAUUGUGCAAAUCAUGGAAACAAUUCAGGAAAUUGGUGACUUUAUGCUGGAAAUGUUACGUAUCGUGUCUGUUCUAUUUUGGGACUCUUCACCAUUAAUACUGCUGUUAUGGAGUUGUGUUCGGCAUAUCUGCUCGAGUGAUUAUGCCGUAAGAGACAGUGCUAUUCCUACUUGGUAUUCGACUAAUUUUCUGGAAUUACGAUGCUGUUUCUCUCGACUAAUGGACGAAAAUUCUAAGUUAUGUAUCUUAGAGAAUAAAAACUUCAGUAAAGCUACAUCACUUUGGUUAUUGUUUAUUGGUUAUAGUGCAGUUGCUGAGUUCAUGUUUCGAAACUAACUGAUUAGUAAAGUUUUUAAUAGUAUCUGGUUAACUUGUGUUGUUUGUAAUCUUUUCUCGGUAACUAACGGUUCACUUCCCUUAAAGUUAUAUCAUCGCUGCGAUGAUAAUAAGCAUAUGUAACUUUUCAUUCGGUCUAUCCACUAAAAACCAUUACAUUUAUGAUAGGUACUAUACGUAGUUUUGUGUACUUUGUGUGCACAGCAUGAAUAAAGAGUAAAGACAGGCUAUUCAAAAGCCAGUCUAGGUUAAAAGUCAUUAGUUGACAAAUAAACUGCUCUGAUAAUGAUGUUAGCACAUUUAUAACUUCCCUCCAAUUACGUAAUUUAGGGAAUUUUUUGGCUUGCGUCUACCUGUGUUCCCAAUACAUGUUUACGUUUGUCUGCUUGUUUUCUCACUUAGGAAGUGUUGGCACGUAUACGGGAAUUUUGACUGAAUAUUGAUCUGUUAGGGAAUGUCCACAUAGCAACUCAUAUUAGGUAUAGUUCCCUGGUAAUACUGCAUACACAUGUACCUGCAGAGGAGGUUGCCAGGAUUAAUUAAGGGUCACUUAUACAUGUAUAUGAAACUCGAAACAUAUCCAACCCACUGAGUCAGCACUCGCUCUCUAGCAUUGACCUAUUGAGUACAUAUCCUGAAUCGUAGUAGUUUAAAAUUACAUCAUUGCUAUAUAUACCUGCUACAUCAAGACAGGAAUCAAAGACACAUAAAACCUAUGUAGUGCAGCAACACUUAAAGUUUGUGAUUAUUUAUAAUCUAAAUUUCUGGCUCAUUGUUUUAAGUAUGACUACGCUACUCACUUUCUAGUUUUCUUACUACUAUAGUAUAGAGUGCUACAAUUGUUCGCAGCUUUUUGGCUUAGCUAAUGUAGGGUAGCUACUUUUCUCAACCCCACAUCCAGGGCAAGGACUUCGGUUUGAGAACAGCAUUUUCACCAACAGAAUAUUCUGUCAUUGAAGAUCUUCGUUAAACCAGUCUUCAUAAUUAUGAUUGCAAAGCACAUGGAUGGGCUCAACGUGGUAUAGAGUGCGCAUGUUGAUGUCUCAAAUCAAAGUCGGGUAGCUAGUUUAUCUAACGUGCCAAUUCAAGCUUCUUAGCUUUGAUCGUUUUUAUUUGACUACAAGAGAAAAACUGCCACAAACAAAACUAAUAUCUGCAUAGUUACACAUAAUUAUGUUGAGCCUAUCAAUGCUGUAAACGCACUACUUUGGCAUCCAGGUGAGCAGACAAAGUGACAGAUACAUAGUAAUAAAUAUGUAGGCUCUUUCAACAAAAGCUAAUUGUGCCAAUAAUAGUCAGCAAAAAGAACAUAACGAAACCUUGUGUUGGAUGUACAUAUAGUUUCAAUCACAUAGGAUAUUACUUGUCAUCAAAUGUUACCUAGAAACAGUCAUGCACGGCAGGAAUGAAACACAUUUCAUUCUGGUGUACUGGACAAUUAGAAGUUAAAGACUGUAGUGGCAUAAUCCUUUCUCUGGGCUCUGCCCAUCAGAGGUGCAUUAUGUAGUCAUGCAUAGCAUUGUUUUUGUUAUGAUAGUAGCUUCCUGCAUGCAUGUGCACUUGUUUACACCACUGUUUUACCAUGCAAAGAUGUUUGCAUGUACAUCAACAUUGCAGUAAUUACCUCGUGUGUGUGUGUGCAGCGUGCAGCAGGAGUAGAGUGAUUGGUGUGUGUGUUUGGGUUAGGACACAAAAAUGAGCUGUUUGAGCGAACAAGACACUUUUAUGGACUGCUUUAACUGAUAAUAAUAGGCUAGUUAUAGUUGAAACUUGGGAUCAAGUGGCUUAUACGGCACCGGAUGUGCACCGGAUGUGGAAACACCCUAGCUAACCUGAACCCCGAACCCUUUCAAAAUUACAUUCGGUGCCGCAUAUGCCACUUGAUCCGAAACUUGUAGGCAAUCUUCAAAGGCGACCAAAAACAGUUUUCUAACCAUUGCUUUAUAGAUUCAAGAUCAGUCCCGAUUCACGAUCAUAAUUAUGUUCGCGGAUUCAGCAUGCAGAAUUUUAUUCAGGUCCUUCUUACUGACAUCAUGGGACUGAUCUAAAAACAAUUUAUAUAUAAUUAUAAGGGAUUAUCCCUGGGGAUUCCCCUCAAAUACUUGGGCACACAUGAAUGCCAUUAGUACUUCAGUAUGAAUGAAUUUUUGAUGAUGUCAUACUAUAGUUCUAAUCCUAUCACAGAAUCCAAGGAACUUUCCCAGGGGAUUUCUGUCCAUGGUACCUAUUUUGCAAUCAAGCAAUAAUUAUGUUGCAAUGGUUAUAUACCUGUAGCUGAUGUGUACAUAUGUGAUACGCUGCCAAAGAGGGGGUGUGCUUAUAGGGUAUAAAAUAGAAGUAGCAGUAACGUGUGCGCAUACAGUGAGAGGCCUGAUAAUAUAAUUAUGAAGACUGUGAGAGCUGUUAGAAUGAGGGACAAUGCCAUGUUGCUUUUACUUUUGGUGGUCGGAGGUGCAUUGGCUGUAGUCUUUCUUUAUGAACUCUGGACUAAUCACGUACGGAAUCAUGAGAUUGAGCAACUGAAUGAAGAAGCUCUAAACUCUCGUAUGGAAGCUGAUCAGUUGAGAUACGCCUUUCGAAAACUGAAUCUUUCCAUCAAAGGAAUGGUUACUGGAAUAAAUUCUAGCUUACAGGAAAAUCGUAAAGCUUUUGAAGGAAACGAUCAGGUUUUAAGCGACUCUGAAAGAAUGGAUAAACUGGAAAAUAUGUUAGCUAGUUUGCGAAAAGAAUUGGAAGCAUCAAAAUUGGUUCACUUUCAAUCUAAUUCUGGUUCAAAUGAGACUCAAGUGAUGCAGAAUUCUGUAGAGAAGCUGGCUAUUGAAUUGCACCAAACUCAAACCACGGUUAAGUCAGUUAAAUCAUUUGCUGAUAAUUCGUAUAAAGGCUUGAAUACUUUGGGCGAGCAACUUCAGGAACACAUUAAAGGACAUCAGUCUGAAAGCAAUGGCGUCAGCUUGAGCAACCUUUGCUCUACUCAUAGACAGAGCUGUACAGUGCCCUCGUCCAGACAAGGGCAAUACUGGAAGUCUUGUCGAACACCAACAACUUUAAUAAAGGAAGUGGGGAAGGUUAUUCUCUCGCGUGAAUGUUCCUUUCAGCCGUUGGGGAGGUUCAGCGAGUACCAAGAGAGUCUGACGCUACAGGAGGAUAGUGACCAUGUGUGGUGUGACUGUGAUGUCACCUUUCCUGGCGAAGACGGAGACAGACAGCGGGCUAUUGCUGGGGACUUCACUGGCACCUGUUACCUGACUAUUAUUCAUUGUAGAUAGCAAUUGUGAAAUGUGCAUGCAUGUGCACAUGCACGUGUUCUUAAAGGCUUAUUCAUAUAAUUAUAAUAACGUCACAGAAUAAAUCAAGUUUGAUAUUCAUGA